rnacentral:lncRNA from 1 species
GAUAUAUUUAAUGAUAAGAGAUGGAAUGACAUUCUUGAAAAGUAUGGUGAGCAUCUCUCAAGAAGUAAAAGCUGCUCCUGAGGGCUCUGUCACUCACAGAAGAAAUGUUUUCUUCACGGUGAAAAAUGCAGAUUGGAUUGAGAUAAUUAUUAUUCAAUCCUGUAUAUAAUCAUAGUGGCCACAAAAUCUAGGGAGCAGAAAAAAAAUGCUGGCCUAUGUUCUAAACAUUUGUUAGAAACUUCCAGUAACUUAAAUGUUUUGGAAUACAAGUUACAUGAUUAUGGCCACAGUCAAGUCUCUUCCCAAGAGCCUGCUGGCACAGGAGUGUCUGCUCAUUUAAACAAAAGAUCCUAUUCCAGACUCAUCUUUUUAAGCAGCUAUUGUGUUCCAGUAGCAGAAACAGUACCAUAACAGUUUGGAAGAAAGAGCAUGUAAAAGACGCUUUUGAACAUAUAGUGACAGUUUUCAUCAGUGCCCCUAUCUGUGGUCAAUGAUAGUUAUGAAAUUUUUAAGCAUAUGAGAGAAUAUAGGGUGAAGAUCUAAUACAUUUAAUAGUAUCAAAAGUACAGAGAUGGCACUAACAAUCAGGUCUGAUUCUGGAAAUCCCCUGGAAAUUCUAUUAAAAGUUUUAGAUAUUUUAGGUGAGGAACCUGUUAUUGAAAACUCAAAGGGCUACAAGAUGGUGCUAUGUUAUUUUAAAGUUAUUCAAUAGAAUUGUGUAGGUAUUUAAUAUCUUAAAAAAAUAGCAGAAGGCAUGAAACAAAAACAACAAAAAAUGAAGCAUUAAAAAUAUUACCUUCUGUUCUGUUGGAGCUGUGCUACAGGUUAACAAGAGAUAUCUGAAAUUGUUCCUUCAAGUUUAGUUAUGUUGCAACCAAGAGCUUUGGAAUGAAUGCCUUCAAGGACUCAUUUGCUGAACUCAAUAAAAAGUCCCCAAGGGUCAACUAUCUUUACACAGGAUACUAGCAGACAAUUUUGUUACACUUGAGGAAGGGAAAGGAGAUGUUGAGGAAUAUGUUAAUGAUCUUCAAGAAUGGGAAGGUGACAAAAAAUUGCAUUCGAUGAAGCAAGAAAAAGUGCACAGCUCAUGAUGGAACUGGAAGCAAUGCCUCAUU